AACUAUUCCAGGAUGAUUUGGUGAUAAGCAGCUAUUCAUUAGUUUAAUUUACCGAAUCCUCCAUUCGACAGAAUUUUAUUCAUCUCCCAUUCCGCCUCCACCCAUAAUAGCCAUUCCCCACCUGAUCUAAAGAAUAGCAAUACAGAGCCUCUACCGAAUAAGAAAAAAAACAUAACCUCCCAUUCUUGCCCUUUACCAUUCUCCCUCAGCAAACACCUCAAGCCACCACACCUCAACCUUGUCUCAUAGUUCUCGUUUAGUUAUUGUUAUCCCAGGACCAUCAUAGACAAAGAUCUCGACAUUGUAAAAAGCUUCCCCAAAGUUGAGACGAGUAAGGCUCGACCUUUGCUUACUGAAGCAAUUGAACAUCAAGACUUUGAUAUGUUGGUGGAUCCGAGGCUGGAAAAGAACUACGUGGAUCACGAAAUGUUUCGAAUUUGAUGUUAAUAAUGGUCUCUGGUCAUGUGGGAUUAGUAGCAAUGUAUGGUGCAGGCUGUUGGGCAUCCUCAAAAGGACCUUUUGGGGCUCCUUUCACAGUUGGUUGUUGUGUUAGCGAUGCUGGAGAACACCUAAUGAAAAGAUUUGCAGCUCGGGAGUGCUGUGUCUCAUCGUACUUUUAUAGGCAGGUCCUGCUUCUGCUUGCAUGAAAGUUCUUCGCUCUAUUGCUCAAGAUAGUAAUCAAGCUGAUACUGAUAAAAGUGCUGGGAUUUUAAUCGUGCAAGCGGAUGCUCCUAUUAGGGCGAGAUCUCAAUUAAACCACAAUACAUCUUUCGAAAAAAAAAAUUAUCGGAUUAGUUUUUAUAUGUGAAUUUAUUGGUUUAGGUUCCAGGAAAUCCUCUAAAAUUGAAAGCUAUAGAAAUUGCAUCUGCGUAUUCAUCGUUGUCUUUUGGGAUAGGAUAUUUUGGAAGUGGCAUGGAAAGGCCUAAGGUAUGAUGCUUGCAAUUAAAACAUGUUUUUAAAGUAGAUGGUAUAUUCAUUGAUGUAGCAAAUUAUAAGGUGUGGUUAAGACACUGCAUUAUUUAUGUAUGGUUAUGAAGUUCCAUUUAUUUCUGGCAA